CCCUCCGAUGUUUCCCGCUUCCUAAUUCCCCUACCCCUAGUUUUACUCUUCCAUUCUGAUUUUCCCCACGAUGCGCACAUCUUGACCAUCUAUUUGAUUGAAACCGCUACCGCCGCGAACGACCAUCAACAGGCGACCCAACGUCAUCGCUUGAAUCGUCUAACAUUGCUUUAGCCACUGGUAUGGUGCUAUUGCGAUUGCGAAUCAGGUUUGAAGAUGCACACCAACUGCUCGAUGAAACGCUUCAACCAAACUGACUUCUAUUUAACAUAGAGGUUCCUGUAUAAGCAAAAAAGAGCAAAUACAUGAUUGUGGAAUAUGUUUUAUGAACCCGUCUGCAAUUUCGCGGGCUGAUCAACGCAAAUCCAAACACAUCGAGGAUCCAAGUAGAGCGGUUGCAGAUCGAUUGUAUAAAAGAAAGGGCAAUGGCAUCAUUGUAUUGCCCUACAACCCCGGGUUUGAUUUUCCUUUUAAAUAAGUAUCCGUAAAGGCCUAUUAUCUUAAUUUAUUUUGAUUGAAUUUUGGAUUUUGAUUUUGAAGAAACCAUUGGGUGUUGGCAGUACUAAACCUGAAAACAACUACUUGCUAUUAUCUUGAUUCCUUACGGCCUAGAAGUGUCGAUGAGCUGUUGAGGCAAAUUAUUGAUACGGCAAUGGCCGUGUAUGCUUCAGAAAGUGGUGCCAACAUAAGGGUUAAACUUGUAUGGAUUAACGCUAGGGAGGCACUGAAUGCGGCUACUAUGUGAUGAAGUUCAUGAAGGAGAUAGCUUACGAAGGAGUUGAAAUACUUGACAAUGAUAAUGUUGGGAAAGGAGUAGAAGAAUACUCGGCUGCGGAUAUGGAUGGCAUUCGUGAAGAUUGGUCGACUUAUGCGGUUAACUCUAUUUUUAAGUUAUAAACCGUAUUUUAGGUGUUGAUAAUGUAUUGACAAACAAUUCUCUUUUUGUUAACUUUAAAAUAUUUGUAGUAUACUUGACAAAUGAUUAUGUAAUGGAUUGUUUUGGUAUAUAUAUAUAUAUGUGUGUAUUUGUUUUAUGAAAAA